CCAUGGCCAUGCAUGGUGCAAGCUUCUUCCUUUUCCUCUCUGCUUCUCUUCUCUUUCUCUUCUCAGCCGCCUCUCCGGCUUCCUCCCUCGGCCUUUCCCUGAAGAAGCAGGCUUCUGCUCUUCUUUCCAUCAAACAAUCUUUCCGCACGUCUGACGACUUCUUCCGGAGCUGGAGCUCGUGGAAUCAUGCUUCGGUCUGCUCGUGGAACGGCGUCCGGUGCGAUGCCUCCGGGCGCGGGGUCACCGAGCUCGACGUCUCCAACCUCAACGUCUCCGGUUUCCUCUCGCCGAGGAUCGCUGAGCUGAGGGCGAUCGCUCGCCUGUCGGUCUCUGGCAACAACAUCGCCGGUGAGUUCCCCGCCAGCGUCUGCCAGCUCCCGCACCUCCAGUUCCUCAACAUCUCCAACAACCGCUUCAAUGGCUCCCUGGACUGGAACUUCUUCUCUCGAAUGGUGGAGCUGCAAGUUUUCGACGCGUACAAUAAUGACUUCUCCGGGUCGCUCCCGGUGGCGCUCCCGGAGCUGCCUCUGCUCCGCCACUUGGACCUCGGCGGGAACUACUUCUCCGGCCUGAUCCCGGCCACUUACGGUGGUUUUCCUGCCAUUAGCUAUCUGUCAUUGGCUGGGAACGAUUUGGGUGGCCGCAUUCCACCCGAGCUCGGCAACCUCACCACUCUCGAGCAGCUUUACUUAGGCUACUUCAAUGACUUCGACGGUGGCAUUCCGGCGGAGCUCGGCAGGUUGACUAAUCUCCUCCACCUUGACCUCUCGAGCUGUGGCUUGAAGGGUGAAAUCCCGCACCAGUUGGGGGAUCUUGUGAAGUUGGACACUCUGUUCCUGCAGACGAACCAGCUCACCGGCACCGUUCCUCCCCAAAUUGGCAACUUGAGCAACUUAAGAUUCCUCGACAUCUCCAACAAUGCGCUAACCGGGGAGAUACCGAAUGAGUUUGGGAAUCUCCAGGAGCUCAAGUUGCUGCACAUGUUCCUCAACCAGUUCCAUGGAGAAAUCCCAUUGUUCAUCGCAGAGCUGCCCUGUUUGGAGGUGCUGAAACUGUGGCACAACAACUUCACUGGUAUUAUCCCUCCCAAGCUUGGACAGAAUGGCAAACUCCGCGAGCUCGAUCUCUCCACCAACAAACUCACUGGAUUGGUCCCCAGAGCUCUCUGCAUCGGGAGGAAGUUGGAGAUACUGAUCUUGCUCAACAACUUCCUCUUUGGUCCUCUGCCGGAUGACCUUGGCGAGUGCGCAACUCUCGUGAGGGUGCGCAUGGGACAGAACUACUUAACCGGGUCUAUUCCCGGAGGCUUCCUCUACCUACUGGAAUUGUUACUACUGGAGUUGCAAAACAAUUACCUCACCGGAGUUCUAACAGAUGAGCCUGCAAAGCCACCUACAAAGCUAGGCCAGCUUAAUCUAUCGAACAACCGGUUUUUCGGACCUCUCCCAGGCUCCAUUGGCAACUUCUCGGCAUUGCAGAUUCUUCUUCUCAGUGACAACCAGUUCACCGGAGAAAUCCCACCUCAGGUUGGUCUUCUCAAGCACGUGCUAAAGAUAGAUAUGAGCACGAACAACUUCUCUGGUCGGAUCCCUCCUGAGCUUGGCGAUUGCUUGCUGCUGACCUACUUGGACUUGAGCCAGAACCAAUUAACCGGUGAGAUGCCGUACCAAGUGUCUCAAAUUAGGAUUCUGAACUAUCUGAAUGUUUCAUGGAACCAGUUGGCCGGAGCCAUUCCCAAGGAAAUGGGGAGCAUGAAGAGUCUAACUUCGGUCGACUUCUCUCACAAUGACUUCUCCGGCAGAGUGCCGGAGACAGGGCAGUUUGCCUACUUCAACGCUUCGUCCUUCCUUUCCAAUCCUCAGCUAUGCGGGCCAAUUCUGAACCCCUGCAACAUCUCAGCAAGUUCUCAGUUCCAUCGAGACCAACAAGGAAGUUUCAAGCUCCAGCUCCCCGGGAAGUCCAAGCUCCUGUUUGCUCUGGGCCUCUUACUGUGUUCCAUAGUUUUUGCCAUCACGGUGGCCAUCAAGACGCGGUCUGUGAUGGCAAGAAACUCUAAUUUGUGGAAAUUGACUGCGUUCCAGAAAUUGGAUUUCGGGAGCCAAGAGAUUGUAGAAUGCCUCAAAGAGAACUGCGUCAUCGGGAGAGGAGGAGCUGGCAUCGUCUACCGAGGCACGAUGCCUAACGGCGAAGAGGUCGCAGUGAAGCGACUGCUCGGAAUCAGCAAAGGGUCGACGCAUGACAACGGAUUCUCUGCAGAGAUUCAAACACUGGGCAAGAUUAGACAUCGCAACAUCGUCAGGUUGCUCGCCUUCUGCUCCAACAACGACUGCAAGUUGCUGGUCUACGAGUACAUGCCCAAUGGAAACUUAGGAGAGUUGCUCCAUGGAAAGAGAGCUGGGUAUCUCAAUUGGCAAAUGAGGCUCAGGAUCGCCAUCGAAUCGGCCAAAGGAAUGUGCUACCUGCACCACGACUGUCGCCCUCCGAUCCUUCACCGGGAUGUCAAGUGCAACAACAUCUUGUUGGAUGCAAACUUUGAAGCUCAUGUAGCUGAUUUCGGGCUGGCCAAGUACUUGAGGGACACUGGAGCCUCCGAAUGCAUGUCCGCCAUUGCUGGCUCUUAUGGCUACAUUGCUCCCGAAUACGCGUACACUCUGAAGGUGGACGAGAAGAGCGACGUGUACAGCUUCGGAGUAGUACUGCUGGAGCUCAUCACCGGCCGACGUCCGGUGGGUGGCUUCGGCGAGGAAGGACUGGACCUUGUCCAGUGGACGAGGAUCGUGACGAACUGGAGCAAGGAAGGGGUGGUGAAGAUCCUGGACCCCUGGCUGAGCAACGUGCCGGUGGAGGAGGCCAUGCAGGUGUUCUUUGUUGCCAUGCUGUGCGUGCAGGAGCACAGCGUGGAGAGGCCGACCAUGAGAGAGGUGAUACAAAUGCUGGAACAAGCCAAGCCCUCCUCUGUUCUACACCCAAGAUAGUCAUGAUCUGGUUGCUCUGGGAUUCUGCAGUUUUGUCAGUGAAUGAUGAACUAAGAUUCCAUGUGUGUGUUUAACUAGUGAUUUUAAGCAGCACUGUAUCAUACUCCUUGCGUACGUACAGACUAAAGUAGCUGGCAUGGAUGAAAGAUGAGUGCAUGCAGAGGGACAUGGAAAAGAAAUGUUGUCAGCGGAGUCGUAGAUGAUCUGAAUCACUGAAUGCUUACAAGAUGAGAAUGAAGAAGAAGAAGAAGAGGAAGAGGAAGAGAGAGAGGUGGUGACAGGGAAAAGUGAGGGAACAUGAAGCAUGUUUGCUCCCGAGAAGAUGAUUAAAACAAAACCGAGGAGUGAGCAUGGCAGUGCAGCCUGUUCAAGGAAGAAGAAGAUGAAGAUGAAGAUGAAGAAGAAAAUGAGAGUGAGAGAGGCACAAAACAAUUAAUGAAUAGGAACCCUGGUGUUUAGGUACCUCGUGCAAAUUAAUUUGUAAAGCAAGGCAGAGUGUCAACAAUGGCUGCUGGGAAAAGCACUGAAAGAAGAGGAAGAAGACAGACAAUGUCAUUGAAUUUGAAUGCUGAAGCUUAACAGCAGAAGAAUGCGACCAUGCAUGCAGAGUUGCAGAUCAGAUCAGACCAGACCAGACCACCUCUGCCAUCCUUCUCCUUGUCUUUUUACCCUAAAUAAUUUAUACUUGUAGAUGUACGUAUAUGGAUCAGAGAUAGCGACAU